GAUGAACGCUGGCGGCGUGCCUAAUACAUGCAAGUCGAGCGAAUGGAUUAAGAGCUUGCUCUUAUGAAGUUAGCGGCGGACGGGUGAGUAACACGUGGGUAACCUGCCCAUAAGACUGGGAUAACUCCGGGAAACCGGGGCUAAUACCGGAUAACAUUUUGAACCGCAUGGUUCGAAAUUGAAAGGCGGCUUCGGCUGUCACUUAUGGAUGGACCCGAGUCGCAUUAGCUAGUUGGUGAGGUAACGGCUCACCAAGGCAACGACGCGUAGCCGACCUGAGAGGGUGAUCGGCCACACUGGGACUGAGACACGGCCCAGACUCCUACGGGAGGCAGCAGUAGGGAAUCUUCCGCAAUGGACGAAAGUCUGACGGAGCAACGCCGCGUGAGUGAUGAAGGCUUUCGGGUCGUAAAACUCUGUUGUUAGGGAAGAACAAGUGCUAGUUGAAUAAGCUGGCACCUUGACGGUACCUAACCAGAAAGCCACGGCUAACUACGUGCCAGCAGCCGCCGUAA
rnacentral:rRNA from 1 species